UACGAGGGGUGCAAGCGUUGCUCGGAAUUAUUGGGCGUAAAGGGUAGGUAGGUGGUCUCAUUUGUCUGGGGUGAAAGCCUUGAGCUUAACUCAAGAAGUGCCCCGGAAACGGUGAGACUAGAGUCCUGGAGAGGGUCGUGGAAUUCCCGGUGUAGCGGUGAAAUGCGUAGAGAUCGGGAGGAACACCAGAGGCGAAGGCGGCGACCUGGACAGGUACUGACGCUGAGGCACGAAAGCCAGGGGAGCAAACGGG
rnacentral:rRNA from 1 species